UCAGACGAUGCGUCAUGCAUAUCAAUAAGCGGAGGAAAAGAAACUAACAAGGAUUCCCCUAGUAACGGCGAGUGAAGCGGGAAGAGCUCAAAUUUGAAAUCUUAAAGGGUUUCCCUUUACGAAUUGUAGUUUAAAGAAGUGUUUUCUGUUGAGGUUUUGGUAAAAGUUCUUUGGAAUAGGACAUCAUAGAGGGUGAGAAUCCCGUAUUUGACCUUUACUUUCAACUUUGUGAUACACUUUCAAAGAGUCGGAUUGUUUGGGAAUGCAGUCCAAAAUGGGUGGUAAAUUUCAUCUAAAGCUAAAUAUUGGCGAGAGACCGAUAGCGAACAAGUACCGUGAGGGAAAGAUGAAAAGAACUUUGAAAAGAGAGUUAAACAGUACGUGAAAUUGUCAAAAGGGAAGCGUUUGACACCAGUGUUGUUUUUCUGAAAAUCAAUUAAGGAACUGUUUAUGCUAAGUUGUUUAGACUUUAUCAGCUAACUGUUUAGUUUUGAGCUUUUCUUUAAUGCACUUUUCAGUUAACAAGUCAACAUCAAUUUCUUUUGCUGUAAAAAAGCUUGAGGAAGGUGGCUUGAGAUUCGUCUUAAGUGUUUAUAGCCUCUUGCCUAUGCAGUCGGAGAGAUUGAGGUCUGCAGCGCAGAUCCUUCGGGGCUAAAUGCAUUUGUGCUAAGUUAUAGCAUUUUAUAGACAACUUGUUGACUAUGAUUUGUCUUGUAGCUUACUCGCUUAUGUUAUUUUACCUACGCUUAGGAUGUUGAAGUCAUCGUAUCGCGC
rnacentral:rRNA from 1 species